GGCAGGGGGUGGUCUCCAAUCAAACAGAGAAAAGGUCCUAGAGAAGAAACUCUGCUCUUCCUUGAAGACAGUACUUCCUCUGUAGCCAUCGUGAGUGGAGGUCACUCUUUCUGAGAUAUUCCAAGAACUAUGGAGCAAGGAGGCCGGAAGAACGUCCUCAUCAUCACUUCCAAAUCCCAUGCCAAAAACCUGUGGUUAUUUGAGAGCCUAUUCCAUCUGUCUCUACCAUCCUCUUCUCUCUUCUGGCAGCUUCUCAUCUCCUGUUCCAUUUCCACAGAACACUUCUACCUUGUGAACAGGCUGAGUGUAGCUGAUGGGAGAGAGAAACUACAUGGAGCAGAGACAAGCAGACCAGUUGAGAUCCAACUACCAGGUCCACAAGUGAGGCUCCUCUAGACCAUCCAGACCCAGCAGAGCUGCCAACCAACUACAAAGAGCAGAGGUUUCCUCCCAGACCAGAAGAGCUGUCCCAGCCUUUCUGGCUAUUCUAGUCAUCCCAGCCAACUGACAGAACAUGAGCUAAAUAAUAAAUAUUUGUGGUUUUCUGCCACUA